AGGUUAAGUUAACAAGGGCGCAUGGUGAAUGCCUUGGCACUAGGAGCCGAUGAAGGACGGGACUAACACCGAUAUGCUUCGGGGAGCUGUACGUAAGCUAUGAUCCGGAGAUUUCCGAAUGGGGCAACCCAGCAGUUUUAAUCAACUGUUACCACUAGAUGAAUUCAUAGUCUAGUUGGAGGUAAACGCUGUGAACUGAAACAUCUCAUUAGCAGCAGGAAUAUAAAGAAAUUUCGAUUCCCUAAGUAGCGGCGAGCGAACGGGGAACAGCCCAAACCAAAGUGCUUGCACUUUGGGGUUGUAGGACUGAACAUUUGAGUUACCAAAGAACUUGAUAGUCGAAGGAUUUGGGAAAAUCCGCCAUAGAUGGUGAUAGCCCAGUAGAUUAAAUCAAAUUCUCUCAGUUCAGGAUCCUGAGUACGGCGGAACACGUGAAAUUCCGUCGGAAUCCGGGAGGACCAUCUCCCAAGGCUAAAUACUACCUAGUGACCGAUAGUGAACCAGUACCGUGAGGGAAAGGUGAAAAGCACCCCGGGAGGGGAGUGAAAUAGUUCCUGAAACCAUGUGCCUACAAUAAGUCAGAGCGCGUUAAUGCGUGAUGGCGUGCCUUUUGUAGAAUGAACCGGCGAGUUAUGAUCCCGUGCAAGGUUAAGACUAAAAAGUCGGAGCCGUAGCGAAAGCGAGUCUGAAAUGGGCGAUUUGAGUACGAGGUUAUAGACCCGAAACCAGGUGACCUAUCCAUGUCCAGGUUGAAGGUGCGGUAAAACGCACUGGAGGACCGAACCCGUGUAAGUUGAAAAUUGCUGGGAUGAGGUGUGGAUAGCGGUGAAAUUCCAAACGAACUUGGAGAUAGCUGGUUCUCUCCGAAAUAGCUUUAGGGCUAGCCUCGGAUUAAGGAUCAUGGAGGUAGAGCACUAUUUGGACUAGGGGCCCGUCUUGGGUUACUGAAUUCAGAUAAACUCCGAAUGCCAUUGAUUCAUGUCCGGGAGUCAGACGAUGAGUGAUAAGAUCCACCGUCGAAAGGGGAACAGCCCAGACCAUCAGUUAAGGUCCCUAAAUGUAUGCUAAGUGGAAAAGGAUGUGGAGUUGCAUAGACAACUAGGAUGUUGGCUCAGAAGCAGCCACCAUUUAAAGAGUGCGUAAUAGCUCACUAGUCGAGUGAUCCUGCGCCGAAAAUGUACCGGGGCUAAGCAUACUACCGAAACCAUGGAUGCGACCAUUAGGUCGCGUGAUAGGAGAGCGUUCUAAGGGCGGUGAAGCAAGAUCGUGAGGACUUGUGGAGCGCUUAGAAGUGAGAAUGCCGGUAUGAGUAGCGAAAGAUAGGUGAGAAUCCUAUCCACCGAAUGACUAAGGUUUCCUGGGGAAGGCUCGUCCUCCCAGGGUUAGUCGGGACCUAAGUCGAGGCCGAGAGGCGUAGACGAUGGAUAACAGGUUGAGAUUCCUGUACUAGUUAAGUGCGUUUGAGCAAUGGAGGGACGCAGGAGGCUAAGAUGUGCAUUCUGUUGGAUUAGAAUGUCCAAGCAGUAAGUCUUGUGGAGAGUCAAAUGCUUUUCACUUCAAGGACAAGCUGUGAUGGGGAGCGAAAUUUAGUAGCGAAGCGUCUGAUGUCACACUGCCGAGAAAAGCUUCUAGUGAGUACUUAACUACCCGUACCGCAAACCGACACAGGUAGUCGAGGAGAGAAUCCUAAGGUGAGCGAGUGAACUCUCGUUAAGGAACUCGGCAAAAUGACCCCGUAACUUCGGGAGAAGGGGUGCUGAUCGCAAGAUCAGCCGCAGUGAAUAGGCCCAGGCGACUGUUUAUCAAAAACACAGGUCUCUGCAAAAUCGUAAGAUGACGUAUAGGGGCUGACGCCUGCCCGGUGCUGGAAGGUUAAAAGGAUGGGUUAGCUUCGGCGAAGCUCAGAAUUGAAGCCCCAGUAAACGGCGGCCGUAACUAUAACGGUCCUAAGGUAGCGAAAUUCCUUGUCGGGUAAGUUCCGACCCGCACGAAAGGCGUAACGAUCUGGGCACUGUCUCAACGAGAGACUCGGUGAAAUUAUAUUGUCCGUGAAGAUGCGGACUACCCGCGACAGGACGGAAAGACCCCAUGGAGCUUUACUGUAGCUUGAUAUUGAGUGUUUGUACAGCUUGUACAGGAUAGGUAGGAGCCAUAGAAACCGGAACGCUAGUUUCGGUGGAGGCGUUGGUGGGAUACUACCCUCGCUGUAUGACCACUCUAACCCGCACCACUAAUCGUGGUGGGAGACAGUGUCAGGUGGGCAGUUUGACUGGGGCGGUCGCCUCCUAAAAAGUAACGGAGGCGCCCAAAGGUUCCCUCAGAAUGGUUGGAAAUCAUUCGCAGAGUGUAAAGGCACAAGGGAGCUUGACUGCGAGACAGACAGGUCGAGCAGGGACGAAAGUCGGGCUUAGUGAUCCGGUGGUACCGUAUGGAAGGGCCAUCGCUCAACGGAUAAAAGCUACCCUGGGGAUAACAGGCUUAUCUCCCCCAAGAGUCCACAUCGACGGGGAGGUUUGGCACCUCGAUGUCGGCUCAUCGCAUCCUGGGGCUGUAGUCGGUCCCAAGGGUUGGGCUGUUCGCCCAUUAAAGCGGUACGCGAGCUGGGUUCAGAACGUCGUGAGACAGUUCGGUCCCUAUCCGUCGCGGGCGUAGGAAAUUUGAGAGGACCUGUCCUUAGUACGAGAGGACCGGGAUGGACAUACCUCUGGUGUACCAGUUGUGCCGCCAGGCGCAUCGCUGGGUAGCUACGUAUGGAUGUGAUAAACGCUGAAAGCAUCUAAGUGUGAAACACACCUCGAGAUGAGAUUUCCCAUUCCUUUAUGGAAGUAAGACCCCUGAAAGAUGAUCAGGUAGAUAGGUUAGAAGUGGCAGUGCGGUGACGCAUGAAGCGGACUAAUACUAAUCGGUCGAGGACUUAACCAAG
rnacentral:rRNA from 2 species